AGGAAGUAAAAGAGUUUAUAAAACAAGCGACGCUCCUUUAUUUGAACAUGCAACGAAAGGGUGGUGAAGGGUUACGUAAUCCUCCGUCCGUCCAACAGCAGAACCGCGUCGGAGGAGUGGAAAAGAAAGACGAAAAACAGUAAAAGAAGAAAUAGAUUGAAGAUAAGCAUUAGGAUGAUAUGUGAGUGAGAGAUGCAACAAUGGAGCGUUCAAUUUACUGUCACUGGGGAUCAGAAGCCGUCUCCACACGGCGGAACGAUAGAUAUGUUGACGGAAACACCAUCGGGAAUAGGGGUGCGCAUAAGGCCAGUAGAUAUGGCAUCUUGAACGCAAGUAUUAGUAUUAGAAACUCCCAUCCUCGCAAGGGCCUCGCAGCAUUCGGAGGGUGACCCCAGCCCCCCAGUCAAAAGACCAGAACAUUCAGGUAUCUGAGAGAGAUCUACAGAACACUCUUCAAAUUGAGAGGUGACUAUUGAGAGUGAUAGGAGAUUGAGAGAGAGGAAUAAGGCAACACAAACACUACCCUUGCAACCCAUUUCACUCAACAAACCUAAUUCCUGUCGCAACACUUUCUUACACUUUUCUAUGUGAUCGAUUGUGAAUGAUCAACAACUCAUCAC
rnacentral:lncRNA from 1 species